GGAGGGAUCAUUACAAUUCACUGCCACUUUUAGUGGCGGGCCGAUCAACAUUCAUGUUUUUUUUUAACCUUGGGAUGGGUAACCUAGCAAGGUUUUCUCUUACUGUUGUAGGACAGCAUACGGCCAAUUAAAAUCCCGAAAGGGCGAUUGGGGUCGGAAAUUCCACCACCCUUAAAUAAAGGCGAUCGGGUUUGGAGUGUAAAAACUCCAUCCCGGAAGGGCGAUUGGAUUCGGGCGUUAAAAACCCCGUCUCCUGUUCUCUGAAGAGCUAUUGGGUUUGGUCUGUCUAUCCUGUUGUUUAUCCCGAAAGGGCGAUCAGUUUUGGAGUGUAAAAACUCCCAUCCUGUCUCGAAAGAGUGAUCAGGUUUAGACCAUUCCAUCCCUGUUCCCGAAAGGGCGAUUGGAUUCGGGCGUUAAAAACCCCGUCUCCUGUUCUCUGAUGAGCGUUGAGGUUUGGGUGUAAAAACCCAUCCUUGUUCCCUUCUGUCUCUGAAUACCAUUUUUUUUAAUGGUCGAACACCUGUCGACGGGGGAUAUCUAGGUUCCCACAACGAUGACGAGCGCAGUAAACUGCGAUAACGAAUGUGAAUUGCAGAACUCCGUGAAUCAUUUAGGACUUGAACGCAACUUGCCCCUCACCGUCAAGGCUGAGGUGGGACCGGUUGAGCGCCAUUUAAAACAUAAUCCCGAGAGGGCGAUUGGGGUUGGGAAUUUCCUCCACCCUUAAAUAACGGCAUUUAGUGUGAUAAUGCGGGAAGGACCCCCUGUUUUGGAACCAAUAAUACACGGUCAGGUCAUUCCCGUAAAACGGUUUGUAUCAGAACGGAAUUACCAGUCUCGCGGUCUUUUUCUCGUGUCCUCUCAUACUAAAUGAUUAAAUUGUCAUCUGCUCUGGUGGUUGGGGAUUUUACCAGACGGGUGGCAAUAUUUUGCGUCGAAAUCUAGUAGACGAACUGGCCUCAAACUGGUCCGGACUACCCACUGAACUUAAGCAUAUCAUUAUGUGGAGGAAAAGAAACCAACAGGGAUUCCCUCAGUAAGGGCGACUGAACCGGGAAAAGCUCAAACUUAAAAUCGGCCUGGGCCAAAACCCUCGUCCGAAUUGUAGUUUUGCGAAUGGAUUCUGGUUAUAUCACUGAUCUAAGUCCUCUGGAACGAGACGCCGUAGAAGGUGACAGCCCUGUGAGGUUGGUGAUUGAUCCUGGUGCUUCCAUUUCAAGGAGUCAGGCUAUUUGAGAGCAUAGCCUAAAGCGGGUGGUAAGCUCCAUCCAAAGCUAAAUAUCAGUGGGAGACCGAUAGCGAACAAGUACCGCGAGGGAAAGAUGAAAAAGACUCUGGAAAGAGAGUUAAAAGUAUUUGAAACCGUCGACAGUGAAGCGGACGUGCCCUCCACUCCGUGGUGUGUGAAUCAGCAGGUAGCUAGGUUAGGGAUUAGUCGGCGGCCAUUAAUUUGGUUUAGCUUGCUGGCGUUGGGGUUUGGCGACCUGUGCACUUCAUGCGCCUUAGGAUGCAACUGGUUUGUGUGAUCGAUUUGGGCGGUUGUGGAUGGUAAUCGGCUUGCUGGUGAAAACUGCGACCCAACCCUAACUGUAUUGCAUAAAUUUAGGCUCAGUGGCCUACCUCAUCUUUGCCAAGGGGUGACUUGGUUAGUGGAAGGUUGGCGUUGUCUCGCAAGGGAUGGCGUCGGCCCAAGCUAAUUGGGGAACUUACUGGGUGGGGUUUUGUUGUAAUUGGGGGACACGUCUGUCCCGUCUUGAAACACGGACCAAGGAGUGUUGAUUGCAUGCAAGUCUAAGGGGCGUUAAACCCUGGAGGCGAAGCGAAAGCAUUACGUGUGAUGGGAUAAAAACUUGCAACACGAACCGAUAAUGACACAGCGUGAAUAUAUCGAGUUUUAGCAUGCAGUCAACGACCCGAAAGACCGCGAACUAUACCUGCAUAGGGUGAAGCCAGAAGAAAUUCUGGUGGAGGCCCGUAGCGGUUCUGACGUGCAAAUCGAUCGUCAAAUGUGGGUAUAGCGGCGAAAGACUAAUCGAGCGGUCUAGUAGCUGGUUCCCUC
rnacentral:misc_RNA from 1 species